GGUCGUGUUUGCGCCGGGACACUUUUACCAUCCGGUUGUUUUACUGUUUUAGUUGUAACCAACUGGGGGGUUGAAACUGCGACGGGAGACGCGGCUAGAUAUUUACAGCGCUGGCUAUUUUUUCAAACCCGUGCACUCGUGUUGUCACAGGUGACUGGCUUUAUCGGCGCGGAAUUCGACGCGGCGCGACAUCGAGAGUGGUAAAGAUAGAGGGGAGUCGGACGCGGAGUUCAAGCAUUUUAUGACGUUUUUCUUUGAGUUUAUGAUAGGCUGUGUACGUUUCCAGUACGAUUAUUAUAUAACUCGUGUUGUUAUUUCGACAUCGAAAUUUUUCUAAGGGGAAUAACUCUUCUACGUGGGGAUUUGUAGUGAUAAUAGUAACAUAGUGUCCAGUUAUAAAACGAAGCGCAGAAUUUUGAUAGAAUACUCGAUUUUUACGUAUUUCGGUUGUUGUUGAACGAGUGUAUAUCGACAUAUACCAAUCUAUGUUUAUGACGACCAAACGUAGACUAGUUUAAUCUGCGAUUGAUUUGAAAAUUACUUACAACCAAGUGUGGCACAGCUAGCAGCGAAGAAAGCGAAGAUUUUCACUUACCUAUAACAGAAAAACAUUAUACCAUAUUAGUAAUUGGAAACGAAUGAACGUAUUUCCGCUACACUGUCAGCCAUCGCGUACAAUUGAACAUCGUACUUACCUUUAUAUUACCCGCGUACUUACAAGUGGGCCACACGACACCAAUCGUCCAGGAAUAGACGCGUCUCAUACGAAGUGAAAUUUACCGAUAACGCGUUUACA